CCCCGUCCAGACCCCCAGACCCCGGCAGCCACCCACCCCGCCCAGCCGUGUCCAGGGCCGCCCGCCUCCUCGGGCCGCUCUCCCUUCCCGUGAGUUAAGCUUGGUCAGUUGCGAAUUCCAGGGUCCGUAACAAACGGGCGUCUCCUUGAGCAGAAAGGACCAUCUGUUAGAGCAGCAAAGGGUCACACACAGAAAGAGAGAGAAAGAGAGAGGCAGAGACAGAAGCAGGCUCCAUGCACCGGGAGCCCGACGUGGGAUUCGAUCCCGGGUCUCCAGGAUCGCGCCCUGGGCCAAAGGCAGGCCCUAAACCGCUGCGCCACCCAGGGAUCCCGUAAUACAAUCUUUAGAGCACAAAGCAUAUUUACUAACAGACUCAAGUACCCUCAGCUUCUCUGCAAUAAGAAGCCAAAGGCACAAACCUACAUCCAGUAAUUAAUGCUCCGUCCUAUUUGGAAAAGACCUAGAUGUCCAACAAAUUCAAUCUCAUUUAUCAUCCAAGCAAAACUUUAAAGUCUCCAGUUAACAAAGACUUUGAAAGCUAUCUUGGCAAUUACCCAUGAAACUUUUGCGACAGACAAAAUUAACCAUCAUUUUUAGUCCUCUUUUUGCUAACAAAUUGCAACGGAGAUCACAUGAGUUUAUUUGACCUUUAGUAAAUUUUGGUAGGAUAAAAGUUUCCUAUUUAAAGCUGAUAACUCUGAAGAUAUGCCUAUCCUAAUUAAACCAGCAAACUUAAAUCAGUUUAAAUACUGAAUCAUGUUCCACCUGGGACCACUUAAAGGCCAAUCAAUUUUUCCCCCAUUGUCAGUUUUUACCUGAGGCACCAAUGAAGAAAUCUGAAGCAGACAGUGUUAAAUCCAAGGUGUUACUCUUCACUCCUUGUCCUGAGGGAACCAGGAGGAGCCAGUGGUGCUGGAGGUACUCACUUGGUAUAGGAAUCAGUUAUGCAGGCCACACCCAAGGUGGUGGAGCAACAGGAGGAGUAUGGAGGGGGGCAGUGCAGAAGAGGUAAGACAGAGGAUCCUCAUUCUAAACGUCCUGAGCUCGGACAGAGGAGCAGACGCCGUGGUUUUUUUCCACCAAAGUAGAAAUAUGCGGUUAAUCAUUCUCUGAGUUUUGUCCUAGGUCCCCAAAUACCUGAUAACAUUUAAGAGCUGGAUCCCAAACAUGUUGCAGGAUGUUAGCUUCAAGCAAAUGUCUUCUGAUGCUGGCAUCAAUACUCCAACCUUUGAUAAUUUACAGAAUAACAUCUGUUGUUCACCUGACACCUUUGACUGGACUCUUCCCUGGAUUCUGGAGGAACAAGUACCCUAGACCCUUUGCCAAAUAAGCCCCUAACUCAAAGCGAGGAAGAGACUCAUUUUCAUUUCCCCUCUGAGUCUCCCAGACACUCUGUCUGCUAUUCAUUGUCACCCACAUUAUUCAAUAAACUGUUUUCACUUUC